rnacentral:rRNA from 1 species
UACGUAGGGUGCAAGCGUUGUCCGGAAUUAUUGGGCGUAAAGAGCUCGUAGGCGGUUUGUCGCGUCUGCUGUGAAAACUCGGGGCUUAACUCCGGGCCUGCAGUCGAUACGGGCAGACUGGAGUUCGGCAGGGGAGACUGGAAUUCCUGGUGUAGCGGUGAAAUGCGCAGAUAUCAGGAGGAACACCGGUGGCGAAGGCGGGUCUCUGGGCCGAUACUGACGCUGAGGAGCGAAAGCGUGGGGAGCGAACAGG